AGUGGGUCUGGUUGUAGGUGUAUUGAUUAUUUCGCCCUACAAUUUUCUAUUCGGGAGCUGUCCCUGAUCAUAGUGUGCACGCCUAACUGGCACCGAAAGGUGCAGAUAAAUAGGAAGCCUAAAGUGAUUACUAAUUGCGCCCACCUGGUUAACAGGGGCGCGAAAUUCAAGAAGCCAGCAACCAGGCCCAUCU
rnacentral:other from 1 species